rnacentral:rRNA from 1 species
UACGUAGGGUGCAAGCGUUGUCCGGAAUUAUUGGGCGCAAAGAGCUCGUAGGCGGUUUGUCGCGUCUGCUGUGAAAACCCGAGGCUCAACCUCGGGCCUGCAGUGGGUACGGGCAGACUAGAGUGCGGUAGGGGAGAUUGGAAUUCCUGGUGUAGCGGUGGAAUGCGCAGAUAUCAGGAGGAACACCAAUGGCGAAGGCAGAUCUCUGGGCCGUAACUGACGCUGAGGAGCGAAAGCAUGGGGAGCGAACAGG